UGGCACGGUCUUUGUGCAUUUUCUUUUCCGCAUAGGAACCCUUAGUGACCUAGCAACGUCUGAAACACAAAC